rnacentral:lncRNA from 1 species
GCCGGGGCCUGCUGAGGGCUGGGCAGCGGGGGUCUGACAGGGCCUCCGCCGGCCCGGUGCGCCCCUUGCCCGCUGGCCCGCCCGCGUGUGGCUUGGUGUGGGGCUCAUGGCCGGCCCCGGGCCUGGCGGGGAGCACUGGCAGCGGCUGGGGGUGAGGUGGGCCCUGCUUGGGAUCACCCCCUCUCCCCAUCAGGGCACCCCGCUGCCCCGCGUCCCUGGGCCACCGCACUGGUAUGGCAUGGACGAGCAGAGGAGCAGAAGUUGUGGAAAAUUCAUCUGUACAAAUCCUUUGCUGUGGAAAGGGUGGUAUGGAAGGGAGAAGCAGGAGUUUUCCUGUUGGUAACUGGACACAGGAACAAUGUAUCACUGGUUUGUGAAGACAGCAUAUUGCCAUCAGGUACUUGAUUGCAUAUUCACAAUUUAAGUGAACUUUAUCUUUUCAGACUCCAACUAUAAUAUGGACUAGAGUACCUUAUAAUGUUUUGAAAAGACAUGUGAAAAUGCACCAUUUAUAUUGUGUGAAAAUAGCUGUGAGUAAAAAAAAAAAAUCCAUUGAGAAUUCAGGUACUUAUAUUUAAGAGGGAAUAAAUUUUA